rnacentral:rRNA from 1 species
GGAGUCUAGCAUGUGCGCGAGUCAUUGGGACUAUCGAAUCCUAAAGGCGAAAUGAAAGUGAAGCUGAGUUUUACUUAGUGAGGGAAGAUGGGCAACUUUGUUGCCUCGCACUCCCGGGGCGUCUCUUACACAUUGCGAGUUGAGGCGUACCUUGAGCGUACACGCUGGGACCCGAAAGAUGGUGAACUAUGCUUGAUCAGGACGAAGUCAGGGGAAACCCUGAUGGAGGUCCGUAGCGAUUCUGACGUGCAAAUCGAUCGUAAGAAUUGAGUAUAGGGGCGAAAGACUAAUCGAACCAUCUAGUAGCUGGUUCCCUCCGAAGUUUCCCUCAGGAUAGCUGGCACUCGGAGUAAGAGUUUCAUCUGGUAAAGCGAAUGAUUAGAGGCAUUGGGGUCGAAACGUCCUCAACCUAUUCUCAAACUUUAAAUGGGUGAGAAAUCCGACUUGCUUAAAUGUGAAGUCGCGAAAAUUCUAGAAUCAGAGUGCCAAGUGGGCCACUUUUGGUAAGCAGAACUGGCGCUGUGGGAUGAACCAAACGUUGAGUUAAAGCGCCUAAAAUUACGUUUAUGGGAUACCAUGAAAGGCGUUUGUAACUUAGGACAGCAGGACGGUGACCAUGGAAGUC